rnacentral:rRNA from 1 species
UCGACCUCAAAUCAAGUGAGAGUACCCGCUGAAUUUAAGCAUAUUAAUAAGCGGAGGAAAAGAAACUAACAAGGAUUCCCCCAGUAACGGCGAGUGAAGAGGGAAGAGCUCAAAUUUAAAAUCUACCACUUGAGAGAGUGGUUGAAUCGUAGUUUUUGGAUAUAUAAUUUGGUAACAAAGAAUAUCAAAAUCCCUUGGAAAGGGGUAUCAAAGAAGGUGAUAAUCCUGUUUAUGGUAUUAUUUUGAAAUCAAUAUAUUUAUAUAUCUUAGAGUCGGGUUGUUUGGGAAUGCAAUCUUAAAUGGGUGGUAUAUCUCAUCUAAAGCUAAAUAUUGAUAGGAGACCGAUAGCAAACAAGUACCGUGAGGGAAAGGUGAAAAGAUCUUUGAAAAAGGAGUGAAAAGUACUUGAAAUUGUUAACAGGGAAACGCUUAAAGCCUUUAUUCAGUUUCUUUGAUUCAUCUAUGAUUAUGAGGAAAGUGGUUUAAAAGAUCUUACUCAGGUAGGACUCUUUAGAUUAUAAUCCAAAAUAAUCAUGGUGCACUUUGGAGAAAUUGGUUCAACAUCAAUUCUUCUCGGUUUAAAAAAUAUUUAUGGAGGUAGUCUCGGCUAUUUCGGUAGUCUUGACGAAACAUAGAUUAUAUGAACCGAGAGGGAUUGACAUGUCAAACUUGUGCCUCAAGGCAAUGCUAUCAGCCAUAUGUUGUCUAUGAUGUUUUGACUUCAAAGAAGUGUUGAUGUCAUAGGUGAUAUAUGAGUUGAGAAGUUAAACGCAAGUUAGAGAAUGUUGAUAAUAAAAGACUUUAAUCGACCCGUCUUGAAACACGGACCAAGGAGUCUAACAUAUGUGCGAGUCUAUGAGCGAUUAAACUUGUAGGCGUAAUGAAAGUAAGAUGGUAAGAAUAUUCUCUUGUAGAAUAUGCAUUAUCGAUCAAUCCGGAUCUUUAAGUGAAGGAAUUGAAUAGGAGCAUAUAUGAUAGGACCCGAAAGAUGGUGAACUAUACUUGAGUAGAAUGAAGUCAGAGGAAACUCUGAUGGAGGUUCGAAGGGGUUUUGACGUGCAAAUCGAUCUUCAAACUUGAGUAUAGGGGCGAAAGACUAAUCGAACCAUCUAGUAGCUGGUUCCCUCCGAAGUUUCCCUCAGGAUAGCUGGAACUUAAAAAUAGUUUUAUCAGGUAAAGCGAAUGAUUAGAAGCUCUGGGGAUGAAACAUCCUCGACUUAUUCUCAAACUUUAAAUAGGUAAGAUAGGAUAAUUGCUUAAAUAUGAAUUAUCUUAUUGAAUAACAAGUUCUUAGUGGGCCAUUUUUGGUAAGCAGAACUGGCGAUGUGGGAUGAACCAAACGUAAAGUUAAAGUGCCUAAAAGUACGUUCAUCAGAUACCACAAAAGGUGUUGAUUCAUCUAGACAGUUGGACGGUGGCCAUGGAAGUCGGAAUCCGCUAAGGAGUGUGUAACAACUCACCAACCGAAUGAAUUAGCCCUGAAAAUGGAUGGCGCUUAAACGUACUACUUAUACUUCACCGUUAAGAUAAAUGCAAAAUCUUAACGAGUAGGAGGGCGUAUUGAUAGUUAUGAAGAUCUACAGUGAUGUGGAUUGAAACUAUCUUUAGUGCAGAUCUUGGUGGUAGUAGCAAAUAUCCAAUAGAGAACAUUGAAGACUGAAGUGGAGAAAGGUUUCACAUGAACAUCAAUUGUAUGUGAGUUAGUCGGUCCUAAACGGAGGGUUAAUUCCUAAGAAAGUUAAAUUUAAUUUAACUGAACCGUGAAAGGGAAAUAGGUUAAUAUUCCUAUACUAUAUCAAGGAGCGUUAGAAAUGGUAACAUAAAUGAUCUCAGAAACAUUGGUAGAGUAACCAGGAAGAGUUCUCUUUUCUUUUUAACAACCUAUCUUUUUUAAAUUACCAAAGAAAACCAUGGAAUCAAUUUAUUUGGAGAAAUGGUUUAAAGGUUGGUAGAGCAAUCUAUUUUUUUUGGAUUGUCUGGUUAUAUUCUAACGAUACAUAAAAAUCUGAGGGAAAAAUUUACUUUCUUGAAUAGCCGUACUCAUAACCGCAUCAGGUCUCCAAGGUUAGAAGCCUCUAGUUGACAGAAUAAUGUGAGUAAGGGAAGUCGGCAAAAUAGAUCUGUAACUUCGGGAUAAAGAUUGGCUCUAAAGGCUGGGUAUAUGGGUCUAAUGGAAUAAGCAGUUGGAUAAGGUAAAGUACGAUGGAUUGUCGAUUAGGUUUCGAAAGAUGGACUAUUGUGCUUGCUUUAAAAGAUUGUGGAGGCUAUUAGAUGAAAGAAAUUUCAUACUGUAUACAAUGAACAGCUAAUUUAGAACUGUUACUGACCAGGGGAAUCCGACUGUUUAAUUAAAACAAAGCAUUGUGAUGGUCAUGAAAAGAUUUUAACACAAUGUGAUUUCUGCCCAGUGCUCUGAAUGUCAAAGUGAAGAAAUUCAAACAAGCGCGGGUAAACGGCGGGAGUAACUAUGACUCUCUUAAGGUAGCCAAAUGCCUCGUCA